GUGCUGUGUGUGUCACGGCCCUAUGUUAAUAGUGAUUUGGUCAGUAUCCUGGGUCAGCUCAAGGGGACGGCUGAAAGCAAAUUAGAGAAAAUGGGAGACAUUAUUUAUUAUGUAUUAUUAUUUGUUAUGGUAAGGAAAGAUUUGGG